rnacentral:rRNA from 1 species
ACUGCUCAGUAACACGUGGACAACGUGCCCUAAAGUGGAGCAUAAUCUCGGGAAACUGAGGAUAAUUCUCCAUAGACCAUGAGAUCUGGAAUGACUUAUGGUUCAAAGUUCCGGCGCUUUAGGAUCGGUCUGCGGCCUAUCAGGUAGUAGUGGGUGUAACGUACCCCCUAGCCAGUUACAGGUAUGGGCCUUGAGAGAGGGAGCCCAGAGUUGGAUUCUGAGACACGAAUCCAGGCCCUACGGGGCGCAGCAGUCGCGAAAACUUCACAAUGGGCGAAAGCCCGAUGAGGGAAUUCCUAGUGCUAGCACAUUUGUGUUAGCUUUUCCUUAGCGUAGAUAACUAGGGGAAUAAGGGCUGGGUAAGACGGGUGCCAGCCGCCGCGGUAAUACCCGCAGCCCGAGUGGUGGUCGAUUUUAUUGAGUCUAAAACGUUCGUAGCCGGUCUGAUAAAUCCCUGGGUAAAUCGGGUGGCUUAACCAUCCGAAUUCCGGGGAGACUGUCAGGCUUGGGAUCGGGAGAGGUAUGAGGUACUUCAGGGGUAGGGGUAAAAUCCUGUAAUCCUUGGAGGACCACCGGUGGCGAAGGCGUCAUACUAGAACGAAUCCGACGGUGAGGGACGAAGCCCUAGGUCGCAAACGGGAUUAGAUACCCCGGUAGUCUAGGGUGUAAACGCUGCAGACUAGGUGUUGGAGGCCCUACGGGGGCACCCAGUGCCCGAGAGAAGUUGUUAAGUCUGCUACUUGGGGAGUACGUCCGCAAGGAUGAACCUUAAAGGAAUUGGCGGGGGAGCAC